rnacentral:lncRNA from 1 species
AUGAGUCAAACCUAAGCAUUCGGCAUUGGGAGCACUGUCACUAAAACUGCAGCCUCAUUCAACAACACAUCCUUAUCGAGCACUUGCAGGUACUCCAUUGAAUGUUAGAAAUGCAUUGAUGAUGGAGACACAGCACCGGCUCAUGAGGACCUUCCAGCCUAGGCAGCAGGACUGGACAUACGCACUUUGGUAGAUUUAUUUUUAGAAAUUGGCUUAUGCAAGUGUGGGGCUGGCAAGUCUAACAACUGCAGGGCAGGUCAGGAGGCUGGAGACCCAGGGAAGAGUUGAUGCUGCAGUCUCUAGUCUGAAGGCAGUGCAGAGGCAGAAUUCCCUCUUUCUCGGAGGAUCUCAGGCUUUUUCUCCUAAGUCCUUCAACCAAGUGGAUGAGGCCACCCGCAUUAGAGAAG